rnacentral:rRNA from 1 species
GUAGCGAAAUUCCUUGUCGGGUAAGUUCCGACCUGCACGAAUGGCGUAAUGAUGGCCAGGCUGUCUCCACCCGAGACUCAGUGAAAUUGAACUCGCUGUGAAGAUGCAGUGUACCCGCGGCAAGACGGAAAGACCCCGUGAACCUUUACUAUAGCUUGACACUGAACAUUGAGCCUUGAUGUGUAGGAUAGGUGGGAGGCUUUGAAGUGUGGACGCCAGUCUGCAUGGAGCCGACCUUGAAAUACCACCCUUUAAUGUUUGAUGUUCUAACGUUGGCCCGUUAUCCGGGUUGCGGACAGUGUCUGGUGGGUAGUUUGACUGGGGCGGUCUCCUCCUAAAGAGUAACGGAGGAGCACGAAGGUUGGCUAAUCCUGGUCGGACAUCAGGAGGUUAGUGCAAUGGCAUAAGCCAGCUUGACUGCGAGCGUGACGGCGCGAGCAGGUGCGAAAGCAGGUCAUAGUGAUCCGGUGGUUCUGAAUGGAAGGGCCAUCGCUCAACGGAUAAAAGGUACUCCGGGGAUAACAGGCUGAUACCGCCCAAGAGUUCAUAUCGACGGCGGUGUUUGGCACCUCGAUGUCGGCUCAUCACAUCCUGGGGCUGAAGUAGGUCCCAAGGGUAUGGCUGUUCGCCAUUUAAAGUGGUACGCGAGCUGGGUUUAGAACGUCGUGAGACAGUUCGGUCCCUAUCUGCCGUGGGCGCUGGAGAACUGAGGGGGGCUGCUCCUAGUACGAGAGGACCGGAGUGGACGCAUCACUGGUGUUCGGGUUGUCAUGCCAAUGGCACUGCCCGGUAGCUAAAUGCGGAAGAGAUAAGUGCUGAAAGCAUCUAAGCACGAAACUUGCCCCGAGAUGAGUUCUCCCUGACUCCUUGAGAGUCCUGAAGGAACGUUGAAGACGACGACGUUGAUAGGCCGGGUGUGUAAGCGCAGCGAUGCGUUGAGCUAACCGGUACUAAUGAACCGUGAGGCUUAACCUU